rnacentral:rRNA from 1 species
UACGGAGGGUGCAAGAGUUAUCCGGGAUCACGGGGUUUAAAGGGUGCGUAGGCGGCUUGAUAAGUCAGGGGUGAAAGCCCGCAGCUUAACUGCGGAACUGCCUUUGAUACUGUCGAGCUUGAAAGAGGUUGAGGUCAGCGGAACGUGACAUGUAGCGGUGAAAUGCAUAGAUAUGUCACAGAACACCGAUUGCGAAGGCAGCUGGCUGGACCUACUUUGGCGCUGAGGCACGAAAGCGUGGGGAGCGAACAGG